rnacentral:lncRNA from 1 species
CGAAUGCUAUAUCUAAAAGAUAAAAGAAUGAAUAUUUCGGCAAAGAACAAAGUCUAAAGUUGUAUAGUCCCUCAGUAACAGGACUAUUUAGAAAGGUUUCACGUCGCCCUUAAUAGAUGUUGAUCUCAAAUGAUUUUUAUCCAACAGGAUAAGGAUUUAAUGUAGCAGGGUGAAUAUUUUGUAGAAGACUUGAGAGGUAUUUCAUUGAUGAGAUGUCCACAAAGCAAUUAGAGAGAAGUCCCAAUAUGAACAUAGAAAUGAGUAUGGUAACGUGUCCUCUUAUUGGAAAAGGUAUAGUAAAUUACAAUAAAAUAAAUCCACACAUUUGGAAUUAGAACACAGAUUCCAAUCGUACAAGUUAAUAAAUACAUAUAUUUGGAAAUAAAAACACAUAUUUGGUGGAAUCUGUUGACUGAGUUACAGCAAGAGAUCGGUAUUCUGCUGAGAUGCAAGUGCGGUUACUUCUUCUGAAGGUUGUUCUGGUUCACAGUUCAAUGUCAAGAGAAUGGUUGUAGGUGCUCUACUAGAUUGGUUCUACUGGUAUUGUUGGAGGUUCUGAUCUCUUUCAAACCCUCUGCAUCAUGAAAGAUCAUAUGCUCCUACCAGUGUGUCCGGCAACAGGGCCACCACCUUUGUCCUCAGUCCUAAUGCUAUUAGCAACAUUAUUGUCAUUGCUGAUUCUUAAAACCAUCGUAUUAAGAAGGUAGGUAAUAACUAAGUAUGUGAGAUGGGAGAGAGGAGUACCAAGCAAUCCAGGUCCAUGUUGCGUCCCCAUAGCUUUCUUCAUUUGCUAUCUGGGGAGCUUUCUGGCAUUGGACUGAGAUGAGAACGAUAGGUGUCCGUAGACCUGCUAUGAAACCCAAAUCAGAAGAACAUAUUUUUCAAGACCGUCAACCUAUUCCUAUAUGUGUUUGUUAUAUUCUGUAGCCAAAAUAGACAGAAUACAUACUACAAUAAACGCUUGAGACGUGUGGAUUUAAUAGAAUAACAAGUAAGAAGAGAUGAUGUAUUCUAAGACGAGGAAAGCAUACCUUUGCCUUGUAAUGAGCACUUGGGAUCGAACUCUAAGCCUCAUGGUCAUGGGCGUUGCAGCAAGCAAAUUUAUCACUAUACCACAUAAUGGGCAG